rnacentral:rRNA from 1 species
GACGAACGCUGACGGUGUGCUUUAGCCAUGCAAGUCGAGCGAGAAAGCCCUUCGGGGUGAGUAAAGCGGCGAACGGGUGAGUAACACGUGGGCAACCUGCCCCUCGCAGGGGGACAACCGGGGGAAACUCCGGCUAAUACCCCGUACGCUUGGUGGAGUGCAUGCUCUAUCAAGGAAAGGUAGCUUCGGCCAUCCGGCGAGGGAUGGGCCCGCGGUACAUUAGCUAGUUGGUGAGGUAACGGCUCACCAAGGCGACGAUGUAUAGCUGGUCUGAGAG